AAGCCUCACUUCUUCUCACUGUGCUCUUGCGCUUCUCUGACCUCUGCAUACUGAGUGCGGUUGUGAAGUCUGGCGAAAUGGUUCCUCCAGUGCAAGUGUCGCCUCUGAUUAAGACAGCCAGAUGGUCUGCAUUGCUUGUUGGCAUUAUUUACGGAAAGCGCAGAUAUGAUAACCUGAAACCAAUCGCUGAGGAGGAAAGGAGAAUAGAAGAGGAGGAAAAGAAGGUGCGAGAGGAGAAGGAACGCAUUGCUAAACAACUAGCAGAAGCUAGUGAGGACACAAUCCUGAAAUGAGCUGCCCAAAAUGUCGGUUUUAUCGUGUCAUUGUAAAAAUCUUGUUAUCUGACUGGAUAACUAAUGAUGCUUGUAUUCUGCCAUUUUGAUUUUACAGUGCCCAUUUCACACCUUUCAAUGUUUUCUCUAAUAGGUUAUGCCAGACUAAAUCUGUUUUUGUGAAAUAAUCACUGAGUACAUGCAAAUAUGUGUGUAUGACCUUGUAUAAAUUUUCUCUGAUAUGACCCUGGUUUGUUCUUUAAUUGAAGAAUCUUUGAUUGCAACGUGAUACAGAUGCAGUACAUGCAAAGUUAAAUAUACACUGAAUCAGAGUUUCACUUUGGUAAACAUCCCCACCAAUAUUUAUUAAUAAACUGUUAACCCCUA